UUUGUGGUAGCAUACAAAUUUUAGGGUUGUUUUUCUAUUUUUGUAAAAAAUUCUAUUGGAAUUUUGAUAAAGAGUGCUUUGAAUCUGUAGAUUUCUUGGGAAUUUUUAACAAUAUCAAUGAUUCUAAUGCAUGAACAUAGAACAUCUUUCUACUUCUUUGUAUCUUUUUCAAUUUCUUUCAUCAAUGUCUUGUAAUUCUCAAUGUACAGAUCUUUCACGUCUUAGGUUAAAUUUAUUCCUAAGUAUUUUAUUCUUUUUGAUUCUGUGUAAAUGGAA